GCCUUCGUGGUGUAAUGGAAUACACUCGACACGUAUUCGAGAGGUCCCUGGUUCAAAUCUAGGCGAAGGCA
rnacentral:tRNA from 1 species